rnacentral:ncRNA from 2 species
AUUUUUGAAUUUAUUGUAGGCUAACAAGCAUUCCGGUCAGAAUGUUUGUGUUAAUAGGGAAGCAGGUGAAAAUCCUGCACGGUAGCGCCGCUGUAAGGGUGUACGGGCUUUUCAUGCGAAAGCAGCCACUGUAAUUCAACGGGAAGGCGAAAAGUGAGGAUGAUACCCAAGUCAGAAGACCUGCCUGCAUGGCUCAUUGGUU